AUACGGAAGGUCCGGGCGUUAUCCGGAUUUAUUGGGUUUAAAGGGAGCGUAGGCCGGAGAUUAAGCGUGUUGUGAAAUGUAGACGCUCAACGUCUGCACUGCAGCGCGAACUGGUUUCCUUGAGUACGCACAAAGUGGGCGGAAUUCGUGGUGUAGCGGUGAAAUGCUUAGAUAUCACGAAGAACUCCGAUUGCGAAGGCAGCUCACUGGAGCGCAACUGACGCUGAAGCUCGAAAGUGCGGGUAUCGAACAGGAUUAGAUACCCUGGUAGUCCGCACGGUAAACGAUGGAUGCCCGCUGUUGGUCUGAAUAGGUCAGCGGCCAAGCGAAAGCAUUAAGCAUCCCACCUGGGGAGUACGCCGGCAACGGUGAAACUCAAAGGAAUUGACGGGGGCCCGCACAAGCGGAGGAACAUGUGGUUUAAUUCGAUGAUACGCGAGGAACCUUACCCGGGCUUGAAUUGCAGAGGAAGGAUUUGGAGACAAUGACGCCCUUCGGGGUCUCUGUGAAGGUGCUGCAUGGUUGUCGUCAGCUCGUGCCGUGAGGUGUCGGCUUAAGUGCCAUAACGAGCGCAACCCCUCUCCUUAGUUGCCAUCAGGUUAAGCUGGGCACUCUGGGGACACUGCCACCGUAAGGUGUGAGGAAGGUGGGGAUGACGUCAAAUCAGCACGGCCCUUACGUCCGGGGCUACACACGUGUUACAAUGGCAGGUACAGAGAGACGGUCCCUUGCAAAAUGGAUCAAAUCCUUAAAGCCUGUCUCAGUUCGGACUGGGGUCUGCAACCCGACCCCACGAAGCUGGAUUCGCUAGUAAUCGCGCAUCAGCCAUGGCGCGGUGAAUACGUUCCCGGGCCUUGUACACACCGCCCGUCAAGCCAUGAAAGCCGGGGGCGCCUAAAGUCCGUGACCGUAAGGAGCGGCCUAGGGCGAAACUGGUAAUUGGGGCU
rnacentral:rRNA from 1 species